rnacentral:lncRNA from 1 species
CUGCUCCAUUUCUGAUGAUCCAUUUCUCAAGUCUGUGGAAAGUGGCAGCUCGGCCAGAUUAGGUUCUGGACCUUUUUGGAAAGCAUUAUGUAUAUCCUCCAGAGAUCUUGCCUCGACAACAGGUAACUUUGAAGUGGAAUCUUCAUGAUCCAGCUGAUCCUCAAUCAUGCUUGCAAGAACUACUUCCUCAACAUCUACACCUUCAUGAAGUUGCUUAAAAGCCAAAUCAAUAUCUUCAACCGAUCUUGCAUCCAGAACAGGCAGCUCCGCAUUGGUCUCCAUCUUCAAUUCUUCUAUUUCUUCAUAUUCUUUUUUUGGUUCACCAGCAGCAACAUUCUCAAGAUGUUCUUCAAAGCCAGAGACUGCUUGGCCAACUUCAAUCUCAUUAGAAGAAACCACAUCAUGCAGCUCUACUUCUGAUGAUCCAUGCCUCAAGUCUGCUGAAUGCGGCAGCUCAGCUGGAUUAGGUUCCGGUCCUUUUAUGAAAGCAUUAUGUAUAUCAUCCAGAGAUCUUGCCUCGACAACAGGAAAUUCUGAAGUGGUAUCUGUAUGAUCUGGCAGAUUCUCAAUCAUACUUGGAAGAAUUACUUCCUCAACAUCCACUCCUUCAUGAAGUUGCUUAAAAGCCAAAUCAAUAUCUUCAACCGAUCUUGCUUCAAGAACAGGUAGCUCCACAUUG